UACGGAGGGUGCAAGCGUUAUCCGGAAUCACUGGGUUUAAAGGGUGCGUAGGCGGUUUUUUAAGUCAGUUGUGAAAUUCCCCCGCUUAACGGGAGGGACUGCGAUUGAUACUGAAGAACUUGAAUCAGGUUGAGGUAGGCGGAAUGUGACAUGUAGCGGUGAAAUGCAUAGAUAUGUCAUAGAACACCGAUUGCGAAGGCAGCUUGCUGGACCUGUAUUGACGCUGAGGCACGAAAGCGUGGGGAGCAAACAGGAUUAGAUACCCCUGUAGU
rnacentral:rRNA from 1 species